rnacentral:rRNA from 1 species
UACGAAGGGGGCUAGCGUUGUUCGGAAUUACUGGGCGUAAAGGGCGCGUAGGCGGCGUGUCAAGUCAGGCGUGAAAGCCCCGGGCUCAACCUGGGAACCGCGCUUGAGACUGGCAUGCUCGAGUUCGGGAGAGGAUGGUGGAAUUCCCAGUGUAGAGGUGAAAUUCGUAGAUAUUGGGAAGAACACCGAUGGCGAAGGCAGCCAUCUGGACCGACACUGACGCUGAGGCGCGAAAGCUAGGGUAGCAAACGGG